rnacentral:lncRNA from 1 species
AGAAAGAGAGACUAGUAUUAUGUAUUAUGAGUUGAUUGAAUUUGGGCCAACUGAAAAUGUCUCAGCAAACAAAGUUUAUUAAAAACCAAUACCAGAGAUAGAGAGCAUGAGAUGGUGGGACGGUGAGAUCGUGAGCAGCGGAGGCUGAAGACUGAGGCAAAGAUGGUGGUUGACGACAUAGAAAUCUAAGAGAUGAAUCUGAGAUCAUAUGAGACUUGAGAGCUAAGAGACAAGAGGAGAGAGGAACUGAGAUGCAAUUAGGGGCAUCGACUCGGG